GUGCUCCUUCUGGCAGCACAUAUACUAAAAUUGGAACAUAGAAAGAUUAGCAUGGCCCUUGGCGAGGAUGACAUGCAAACUGGUGAAGUAUUCUUUAUUUAA